rnacentral:rRNA from 1 species
UACGGAGGGGGCUAGCGUUGUUCGGAAUUACUGGGCGUAAAGCGCACGUAGGCGGCUUUGUAAGUUAGAGGUGAAAGCCCAGGGCUUAACCCUGGAAUUGCCUUUAAGACUGCAUCGCUAGAAUCGUGGAGAGGUAAGUGGAAUUCCGAGUGUAGAGGUGAAAUUCGUAGAUAUUCGGAAGAACACCAGUGGCGAAGGCGACUUACUGAACACGUAUUGACGCUGAGGUGCGAAAGCGUGGGGAGCAAACAGG